AUACGGAGGGUCCAAGCGUUAUCCGGAAUCAUUGGGUUUAAAGGGUGCGCAGGCGGUUUAUUAAGUCAGUGGUGAAAUCUCGGGGCUCAACCUCGAAACUGCCAUUGAUACUGAUAAACUUGAGUUCAGUUGGAGUAGGCGGAAUGUGUAGUGUAGCGGUGAAAUGCGUAGAUAUUACACAGAACACCGAUAGCGAAGGCAGCUUACUAAACUGAUACUGACGCUGAGGCACGAAAGCGUGGGGAGCGAACAGGAUUAGAAACCCCGGUAGUCC
rnacentral:rRNA from 1 species